rnacentral:rRNA from 1 species
AACGAACGCUGGCGGCAGGCCUAACACAUGCAAGUCGAACGAACCUUCGGGUUAGUGGCGAACGGGUGAGUAACACGUGGGCAACCUGCCCCGAGCUCUGGGAUAACUCCGGGAAACCGGGGCUAAUACCGGAUAUGACCAUCACGGGCAUCUUUGAUGGUGGAAAGUUUUUCGGCUCGGGAUGGGCCCGCGGCCUAUCAGCUUGUUGGUGGGGUAAUGGCCUACCAAGGCGACGACGGGUAGCCGGCCUGAGAGGGCGACCGGCCACACUGGGACUGAGACACGGCCCAGACUCCUACGGGAGGCAGCAGUGGGGAAUAUUGCGCAAUGGGCGAAAGCCUGACGCAGCGACGCCGCGUGAGGGACGAAGGCCUUCGGUU